GGAUUCGNAUGGGGGAACCCUGACGCAGCACGCCGCGUGGAGGAUGAAAUCCCUUGGGAUGUAAACUCCUUUCGAUAGGGAAGAUUAUGACGGUACCUAUAGAAGAAGCCCCGGCUAACUUCGUGCCAGUAGCCGCGGUAAUACGAGGGGGGCAAGCGUUGUUCGGAUUUAUUGGGCGUAAAGGGUGCGUAGGCGGUUUGGCAAGUCUUGUGUGAAAUCUUUGGGCUCAACCCAAAGCCUGCACAAGAAACUGCCGGGCUUGAGUAUGGGAGAGGUGAGUGGAAUUUCCGGUGUAGCGGUGAAAUGCGUAGAUAUCGGAAGGAACACCUGUGGCGAAAGCGGCUCACUGGACCAUUACUGACGCUGAGGCACGAAAGCUAGGGGAGCAAACAGGAUUAGAUACCCUGGUAGUCCUAGCCCUAAACGAUGAUUGCUUGGUGUGGCAGGUACCCAAUCCUGCCGUGCCGAANCUAACGCGAUAAGCAAUCCNCCUGGGGAGUACGGUCNCAAGGCUGAAACCUCAAAAAAUUGACGGA
rnacentral:rRNA from 1 species